CCAGCAGGCCAUCUUAUCGCUGUAAUUCUGAGCAAUUGGGAUUAAAGAGGAAAGUCCGGACACCAUAGUGCAGCAUAGCGGGUAACACCCGUCCGUUGAAAGACGAGGACCAGUGCAACAGAAAGCAAGUACAGUUAGGCUGUAGUGAAAUCAGGUAAACUCUAUGCGGUGAAACGUCAUGUAAACCAAUGUUUGAGGGCUGCACGCCCAAAUUGGAGGGUAGGCGGUUGGAGCCUUAGAGCAAUUUAAGGCCUAGAUAAAUGAUAAGGCUAGACAGAAUCCGGCUUAUGGCCUGCUUUUUUU
rnacentral:RNase_P_RNA from 1 species